rnacentral:rRNA from 1 species
GACGAACGCUGGCGGCGUGCCUAAUACAUGCAAGUAGAACGCUGAAGGAGGAGCUUGCUUCUCUGGAUGAGUUGCGAACGGGUGAGUAACGCGUAGGUAACCUGCCUGGUAGCGGGGGAUAACUAUUGGAAACGAUAGCUAAUACCGCAUAAAAUUGAUUAUCGCAUGAUAAUCCAUUGAAAGGUGCAAAUGCAUCACUACCAGAUGGACCUGCGUUGUAUUAGCUAGUUGGUGGGGUAACGGCUCACCAAGGCGACGAUACAUAGCCGACCUGAGAGGGUGAUCGGCCACACUGGGACUGAGACAUGGCCCAGACUCCUACGGGAGGCAGCAGUAGGGAAUCUUCGGCAAUGGACGGAAGUCUGACCGAGCAACGCCGCGUGAGUGAAGAAGGUUUUCGGAUCGUAAAGCUCUGUUGUAAGAGAAGAACGAGUGUGAGAGUGGAAAG